rnacentral:rRNA from 1 species
UGCGGAAGGAUCAUUAUCGAUGGCCGCGCCGUGAGCGCCCUGGUGCAGGAUCGGCCGGCCACUGACCACACCCUUACUUUACGAGCACCUUUCGUUCUCCUUCGGCGGGGCAACCCGCCGCUGGAACCUCAUCAAACCUUUUUUUGCAUCUAGCAUUACCUGUUCUGAUAAAAAACAAUCGUAACAACUUUCAACAAUGGAUCUCUUGGCUCUGGCAUCGAUGAAGAACGCAGCGAAAUGCGAUAAGUAGUGUGAAUUGCAGAAUUCAGUGAAUCAUCGAAUCUUUGAACGCACAUUGCGCCCCUUGGUAUUCCAUGGGGCAUGCCUGUUCGAGCGUCAUCUACACCCUCAAGCUCUGCUUGGUGUUGGGCGUCUGUCCCGCCUCUGCGCGCGGACUCGCCCCAAAGGCAUUGGCAGCGGUCCACGGCCCCUCUCGCGCAGCACAUUGCGCUUCUCGAGGCGGCCCGGCCCGCAUCCACGAAGCCCACAUUACCGUCUU